AGCUACUUGCCCUUCCUUCUUCUGGUAGAAUGUGUCUAAAGCUUUUUUCAAGUCCCUCUCCUGUCAAGUUAGACCUGCCAGGUUUUUCUUAUGCUAACUGCUGCUAAGUACUUACCUGUGUCUGUGCUAAGUACUUGUUUGCUUAUGUGAAUUGCUUGUGCUUGUGUCAAACAAAGGCCUUGUUUCAUCCUCUCCUUCUCUUUAUCCUGAUGCACAUUCUUUUGCAAGAUUCCCUCCACAGUCCACAGGACAUAUGUACUGUUGUCGUGGUUUGGCCCGGAAAUGUGUUUUUGGAAAGGUCUAAGUCGGGCCAAUCAGGGGCCAAAUUCAAAAUUGGCAACGCCUCUGAGAACACACGGGGGUUAAAAGCAGGAGAUUCCCAGAGAACUUCCUCUUUGGGAAUCCGGCGUUGGUGAGUAAAGUCUGGCCUCUCCCCUGCCCAGCUGCGUCUGGGUGGGGGAGGGGGAGGCCAUGACAGGGAGGAGGCCGGGAGCCCCAAAAGGUGCAGAGGUGGAGGAGAACAUGCAGGGGUGGAAGAGACUUGGGAUGUCUGGGCAGCCCCCCCGGAGAGAGGGACAGAAAUUGUGCUGGCAACUCAGCCGGCCAGAAGCGGGGAUGCGGCGAGAGAGGUGCCCAGCUGCUGUGGGAGUCCUUGGGCAGGCAGAAGAAAAUUUUAACCCCUUUGUAGACUAAUAGAAACCUUACAAAUACUGAAUCCUCCUGAAUCAGGAUGAGGUGAGAGAGAGAUGAGAGAUGGGCAAGCGUGAGGAAAGCUGGAAGAGAGAAGAAUCCUGAGUGGAAGAGAUGGAGUGGCCUUGGGCUGGACUCUUUCUUGUAUAGCCAUGGACAGACCCGUGUUUUUUCCCUGUGACCCAGAGACUGUAUUUAGGGGGAGGCAACACCCGGGAGUCAAGAGUGAAGCAGCGGCGUGAACAGAGACGGCUGAAGGGGGUGUGGGAUGCCCUCUGUCUCCACGGAGAGGAAGAUCUCUGUUCAUGAGGCCCCUCGGCCCCAGGGGGUGAAAUUUGGGGGGGACUGGUGUCCCAAAGUUGAGAGACUGCUGCUUCUGGAAGUGGGUGGAGCAUCUUUAAACGGGGAGCCCUAAAAGCAGUCCUGGCCCGUGUCCAGUGGUGAGAGCACUGGACAUGGGGGGGGGAGAAGUCACGAGGGCCGAUGUUCUUUGGGUGGGGCCAUGGGUGAUGCGGAAGCACAGGAGGUUUUAAUUGUGCUUCCGGGGGAGGCCCAUGAGGCAAGGGGGGACUCCUCUCUCCCUGAUGGAUUUGAGGGUUGAUAAUUUGAGGGGUGGUGAAUCUGUGGAGAAAAGGGAGGGGGAGGAGGAAGGUAUUUGGAAGGUUUUCAUUCUUAGUUUAGUAUGUGUUCCUUUCUAGAUUUGUAAUAAAUAAAGUGUUAUGUUUUUUUUUCCCUCCA